rnacentral:rRNA from 1 species
CAAUACAGGGUCUAACGAUUUUGUAAUUGGAAUGAACUAAGUUUAAAACCCUUUAUAAGUAACAAUUGGAGGGCAAGUCUGGUGCCAGCAGCCGCGGUAAUUCCAGCUCCAAUAGCGUAUAUUAAAGUUGUUGCAGUUAAAAAGCUCGUAGUUAGAUUUCAGUUAUAUGUAUAUUUGGUAUCUUCGGGUAUCAUUUAUCAUUAACUUCUCCUUCCUUUACUAACGUAAUGGAAAUUUUA